CUUCCCGCACCCGGCCUUAGCAGGACAUCUGGCCAGGCUCGGUCUCCUGCUUCCGCCCCCACGGAGGAAUCCUCACGAAGUUGAGGCGCAAGCUCUUCGUCUGCAGUCAACCGCACGCCGACGCCCCCUCCCCGCCCUGACCCGCCGAACUCUUGCUGUCGCCCCACCUUCCCAGGGCAGGCGUUUAGCAGAUUAUCAACUUCGGACCCUGUUGGUCACCUGGGCGCUCAGCUCCCGAGCAUCGAUCAUCGGAGGCCGGGAUGCUUUGAAUAUACCCAAAACUCUCGAGUGAGACUGUCCAGAUUCAAAUGCUGGCUCUACCACUUAUUAGGUCUGUAACCUUAGCCGUGGUUCGAUACCUGGUGGGGGAAGAUCCCACAUGCCGUGGAACAACUAAGCCCAUGCGCCACAACUACUGAGCCCGCACGGCACAGCUACUGAAGCCCACAUGCCUAGAGCCUGCGCUCCGCAACAAGAGAAGCCACUGCAAUGAGAAGCCCGCACACCACAACGAAGAGUAGCCCCCGCUCGCCGCAACUAGAGAAAGCCUGUGUGCAACAACAAACACCCAAUGUGGCCAAAAAUAAAUAAAUAAAUAAUAAAUUAAUUAAAAAAAGAAAAAUUAGAAACUGGCUGUUCGUUUUCCAAAGUGUCUGUACCAUUUUGCAUUCCCACCAGCGAUGUAUGAGAGUUCUGGUUGGUAUCCUGCUCUGUGUCUUGGCCAGUACUUGGUGUUGUCAGUUUUGUCGUUUUUGUUUUGCGUGCCGGUCCAUUAGGUUGUGUGGUGCUAUCUCACUGUGGUUUUAAUUUGUGUUUCCCUAAUGACUAAUGAUGCUGAGUAUCUUUUCAUGUGCUUCUUGGCCAUUCACAUAUCUUCUUUGGUGAAGUGUCUGUUCAAAUAUCUUGGCCUUUUAAAAACUGGGUGGGUUUAUUUUCUUAUUAUUGUGUUUUAAGAGUUCUUUAAAUAUUCUAGAUAUAAGUCCUUUAUCAGAUAUGUGAUUUGAAAAUAUUUUCUCCCAGUCUGUGGCUUACUUAUAUUUUCAUUCCUCUAACUGCAUUUUUCCAAGAGCAGAAAUUCUUAAUUUUGCAGUCAUUUUUAAAACAAUUUAUUUAUUUAUUUAUUUAUUUGUCUGUGCUGGGUCUUAGUGGCAGCAUGUGGGAUCUUCAUUGUGGCACAUGGAAUCUUCAGUUGUGGCAUGCGGGAUCUAGGUCCCUGACCAGGGAUCAAACCCAGGCCCCCUGCAUUGGGAGCAUGGAGUCUUAGACACA
rnacentral:lncRNA from 1 species